rnacentral:lncRNA from 1 species
AAGCUCCUUAAAUUCAAUAAUGUCUCUUUUUUUUUUUUCUCUUAGUACCUCAGCUGUUGAAAACUAAGUUCACUUAUGUCAUCAUGGGCUGAAAAGCUAAGUGCCUGGUUUCUUCCUGUGUUCAGCUGCCAGUACAGAGAUGUGCAGAGCAAAACUCAGACUACCUCUAAGGCACUGGAGGGUAAGAAGGAGAUCAAGAUGCAAAACAACCAGCAUGUAGCUGAGGUGAGAAGGAGUAACAUAUACCCUGUCAUCUACAUGUCUGCAAGCAGUUCUCCAUGGCAUUACAUUCCUUGCAGUGCCUGCAGUCAAGGGCACAUUAGAAAUGACAUGCUGAGCUCACAUGAGAAGAACAACGCCUGAAUUUACUGGAAAUGUUGCAUAAAGGGUGAGUGAAGUCACUGAAAACAAAUUGCUGUUCCCAUCCUAAAUAAGCUUGGGCUGGAAUAGGGUCCUCUGGGUUGUGACCAGAUUUAGCCUUCACAGCCAGUUUUUUCCACUGAAACUAAGUACAUUCUCUAGGGAAGCAAAUUGUAUAUGAGAAUUUUUGGGGAGAGGAGUGAUAGAAGGAUCUAAUGCAAUCAAAAUUAUACCAAAAGCCAUUAAAAAGUUGCUGUUUUUGAGUUGUUUCAGAAGAUCGCUUUAUCAUUUAUUGACUCUCUUAUCACUACAACAGUUUUAUGUUAUUCUGAUUCAACUAUGUUAAAAGUUAUGUGAAUGACACAUAUAUCAGUCUGUAAUUCAAACACAUGGUGUUA